AACGAACGCUGGCGGCAUGCCUAACACAUGCAAGUCGAACGAAGCCUUCGGGCUUAGUGGCGCACGGGUGCGUAACGCGUGGGAAUCUGCCCUUAGGUACGGAAUAACUCAUGGAAACGUGUGCUAAUACCGUAUGAUGUCUUCGGACCAAAGAUUUAUCGCCUAGGGAUGAGCCCGCGUUGGAUUAGCUAGUUGGUGAGGUAAAGGCUCACCAAGGCGACGAUCCAUAGCUGGUCUGAGAGGAUGAUCAGCCACACUGGGACUGAGACACGGCCCAGACUCCUACGGGAGGCAGCAGUGGGGAAUAUUGGGCAAUGGGCGAAAGCCUGACCUAGCAACGCCGCGUGAAGGAAGAAGGCCCUAGGGUUGUAAAGCUCUUUUAACCCCGGGAUGAUAAGUGACAGUACCGGGAGAAUAAGCUCCGGCUAACUCCGUGCCAGCAGCCGCGGUAAUCAUACUCGU
rnacentral:rRNA from 1 species